AUGGCUGUGGCCUGGGAAAGCAGCAGCAGGUUGCAGAGGUUUGUCUUCCACAUGUGGGGUCAUUAUAACUACGAGCGAAUGAGACGCGGUGCUGAUUUCUACCUGCUUCAGUCCAACUCCACUUAUGUGAACAGCUGGUCUGCUGUCCAGAGUCUGCUCAUCAUCACAACUGGAUACCUGCAGCUCUACUGCCUCAAGAGGCUCUUCAACACCGAACCAGCAGAGGGAGACAAUGUUUGUGUUUUCUCUGUGUUUGUGAAUGUGUUGUGUUUGUCUCCUGCAGCUGGUCCCACAGUGAAGCCCUCAGUGUCUCUGCUGCCGCCCUCUUCUCUGCAGAUCUCUGGAGACUCAGCCGCACUGCUCUGCCUGCUCAGCUCUUACUCUCCACAGGGGGCGCUGGUGAGCUGGACACUGGACGGCUCAGAGGUCACCGAGGGGGUUGUGACCAGCGCAGAGAGCGAGCAGGACGGCCGCUACAGCCGCAGUAGCGUCCUGACCCUCAGCAAAGCACGCUGGGAAGAGGGAGAGCUGUACGUCUGCAGAGUAACACAUGAUGGAGCUCCUCAUGAGGCCUCGUUCCACAAGAGUCGCUGUUAGUCGCUCGCAGUGCUGAUGUUUCUCCAGUGAGCGCUGCUCUCUCCUGAAGAUGAGCGUAUCUGAGUGUCCUGUGUCAGGCAGGAUUCACAUGAGUCUAGUGCUGCAGCUGUAGUCAUUUACAACUCAAUACUGAAAGAGAGCUCUAGUGUCAAAGCACUGGCUGAUCUUUCAAUCUGCUGUGUUUGCUGCAACAUUCAAUAAAGCUUCUCAACAAA